rnacentral:lncRNA from 1 species
AUAAUCAAGUUGGAGAGUAAUUUUCUUCAAACAAAUAUUGUGACAGUAAAAUAAAUUUAUAAGGAACAAGACAAUGCAUUUUACAGAAGUGAAAAACAAGCAUAUAAGGGAGGAGGAAGGCUAUGCACCUUUAGAGCCUGAAGGAAUUCUUUCACUACAAUGAAAAAUGAAGGAAGAAUCCUGGCAGAUAAGGAACAUGAAGACCAGAAAUUAUACCAGAAACUUGCUAAAUGUCAUUAAGUAUAUUCUCAACUGCCCCAUACCCAAAAAAGUAGGAAACUGUAGACCUUUUCUUGAUUCUUGAAAAAUAAAAAAAUAUAUAUAUAAAGCUAUUGAUUGUAU